UAACUUAUGAUUUUAAUUCCUUUAUAAUUAGAAUAGUUUUGUAUGUUACCCUUAUUAUUGUAAAUUGACAUUAAAAAACUCUUUCUCUAUUCAUUAGGUAUCUUUCUAAAUCUCAUGAUUUUGUUAAAUAAGCUAGUUAACCAAGCUACUUCCUGAUCUCCUAAACUUUUCCGAACCUCAAUUGGGAUGUCAACAAGUCCCACACUCUUAGCUAUUUUCAUUUUUUUAAGACAUCUUUUACUUAAUUUCAUUAUCAUUAAUAAGUAUUAUUUGAUCUUCAUCUUUAAUGUAUUGAAUAUUGAGUCCUUAUACUUUCAUUCUUUGACUUCAGAAAUUUGAUAUAUAUCCUUUUCUCCACCUUUAGUACCUAAUUUAUUAUAAAAAUUAUCAUAAGCUAUAUAUUUUGUCAUACUAAUGGCUCUUUUAGCCUCAUUCUUAUAUUCUUUAUAUCUUUUAAAAUUUUUAUUUUUACAAUUGUAUCAAUUUUUAAAAUAUGAUCUUUUAGUAAUAAUUGCUUUCUAAAUUUAUUCCAGUGAUUACAAUAGGCGCUCAGGCGAGGCGAGGGCCAAGCGCCUCGCUUCAUUUCCGCGCUUCAAAGAGGCACCGCCUGGGCGCUCGCCCGAGCCUAGGCGUCAGGCGCUUCGGGCAAGCGCCUGGGUUAAACUAGAUGACCGAACCAGAUUAUUAGGUCUGGUUGGUCUCCGGUGCUUUAGUUGGUUCAAUCGAACCAACUAAAUCACCGAUAUCAUGCUCCCUCUUGCGAUUUCCCUGACUUCCCCAACCAUAAUACUCGCGAUUUUGCCGCCGAGAUUUCUUCUCUGCUGUCGCUGCUCUCUGCUCGCCGCUGCCACAAUCGCUGCUCGCUGCUACUGUCGUUGUUCCCGCUGUCGCUCACCGUUCCCGCUGCCGCUCACAGCUCCCGCUAUCGCUCGUCGCUCCCGCUGCUGCCGCCGCUCACCGUUCUUGCUCCAACUACGACUAUCACCGCCUCAGCAACCACGGUCUUCUCACACUCUUCUCACUAUACUGUUAACAGUAUAUUAACAGUAUAUUGCUAACUGUAUACUAAUAAUAGUAUUUUUAUUUAUGUGGGAUGAGCAGGAGGCCGCUCCUCCGGCCGGACUGAAUCACCACCGAAGGCUAUCAGGGUUGACGUCUCGUCACAACAACCGCAACAGAUCAACCGCAUGCGGGACCCACAAUUCACCCACUCGAACGCGAGAGGGGGUUACCGUGGUGGAUACCGUACGUUGACUUCAGUGGACUGGGCCGGGGCCGGUAAAUGCACGUGUGAGGGUGGGAUGAGUCAGCAAGGGCAGGUGGCCAUCUAGGAAAUGGGUAUUUUGUUGAAAACUUCGACACUGCCCUUCUUAUGAGUAAUAGAUUAGUCCUAAUAGUUAUGUGUAUUACUAAGUUGUGUUAUUUUCGUCAAUUGGAACCUAAGUCAAUCUUUCAUUGGUUCUUUUA
rnacentral:lncRNA from 1 species